UACAAGUGCAGAGGAACGACAAGCAAGAUGAAGCCUCCUACUGUGAUCCUACUGAUGGUGAUGUCCCUGUUGCUGAUCCAGGCCAAUGAACAAAUAUUGUGGGCCAUAGCAAAAGCAUGGCCAAUUCCUAUACCUGUUCAUUCUACGUCAAAAACUGGCUGAGAAUUUUACACAGAACGGUAACCUGAGCUGGCAGCUGAGCGAAUACCUCCAGGGAAAGUGGAUGAGAACCUGACGGACACCUUGACCAACCAGAUCAUUUCCCUGAACGUCACACGGCUGGAAUUACCUACUGCUAAUGCCUUUCUCAAUAUGCUGAAAUGGACUUUUAGUUAUUUUAAGGAGUAGGCAGGAAUAGGAGCCCUGACAGGCCUAAGGGUGCUUGCCUCCCUGGUAUGUCUGUGGUGCAUUUGUCACAUGAGAACCUCACAACGUCACAAUGCAGCCCUGAUCAUACAAGCCUUCAUGGCUAUUGAAGCAGGACAGUCCCCUCAAGCUUGGUUAACUACUUUAAAAGAGAUGUAAGCACAGGAUGCGAGGCUUGCGCACUGCACUUGAGGGUAAUUACAUCUACCUCAAGGGGAGCAAGUCUGAUUGCAUGUGAGUCAGUGCCUAUGUCCCACCUCUGUAAAAAAGGGCACCAAGCGGGUCUAGUGUUUUCUGGGUGGAGGACACCUGGAUAGACAAUAGUACAUGCUUCAUUUUUGACAGAGAUCAGACCUCUACUCUCGCUUGCUGC